AGGGGGAGGCCGGAUCCUGGGGUGUGUCCCGGCGCUCUGGGCUCCCGGUCUGCGCUGUUGGAUUCGUGCUCCCUUCCGCGCAGCCCCCU
rnacentral:pre_miRNA from 1 species